CUGGUGAUGAUUAUCUCAAUUUCCUCUCUGCCACUUACCCAGCACAGUGAUGUCAGAGGGCUCAGAUGUCUGGUACCUCAGGGUUCUGGUAUUAUGGGCCCAGCAGCUGUAGCUACCGCUCUGAUUGAUCUGAAUGUUUCCCAACCGGAGUUCUGGUCCCUUAUUGGACAGCAGUGUUCCAUUCAGAGCCCACUGAAACUGGGCAGGAGGACUGGACUCAGCUGAGCAGGACAAAUUGAGAUUAAGUUUACAGUAGCAGACAGACAUUGCAGGAAGCACUAUGAAGAUGACCAUAUGUGAAAGACUAUUUCAUCCAAAGCCAUACAAUAUUCAGGGCCUGGCUUCAGUAUCACACAUUUUCAUCAACACAGCAGAAUGGAGCACCUAAAAAUACCUGUAAGUGUUAUUCAGAAGAGCUCAACAGUGGAAUUAAUAACAAAUAGAUUUGGAAUUACAUCUCAAGCUGACCAUAUUCAUUCUGAGAGGUACUGAAUGUGUCUCCACAAAAAUGUAGACAAUGCAUUGAACACACCUUUACUUCGUUAAUGAUGUUGAGAAAAAUGUACAUGUUGUGCACUAGGCAGAUAACAGAUUUGGCCUUGUUCAACACCAUCAUACACUAGUAAUAUACAAUGUAUAAAUAUAACAUAAUUGGGAAUGGGAAGAGAUGGACAGAAGUAAUGGUUCACACUGAAUGAAAUCAUUGAAUUUGAGAAACACCUACUCAUGCCAAAGUAAUGACAAACAGUAGCUUAAUCAGCUUACAGAACACAACUUGAAAAUCAACUAGUUGUGUCUGAGAUUUGGCAAGAGUCUUACCCUUUGACUUUUUACACAUUUUGUUAGGUUACAUCCUACACACAAUAGCACAUAAUGACAACAAAUGUUUGCUAAUUUAUAAAAAUAAAUAGCACAUUUACUUAAGUAUUCAGACCCUUUACUCAGUACUUUGAUUAAGCACCUUUGGCAGUGAUUAGAGCCUUGAA